UUGUCUCUGAAUCAAGGCUAGCAGUUUGUUGAAACAAAUGUCUUUCUGUUGUCUGUUAACCAUUUCAGAAAUUUGGAAAUGUAAUGAUCAAUUCAUUAGAAAGAAACAUCU
ensembl:snoRNA